CCCUUUCUCUGCCAUUAGGGACUCUGGGCGGUAUUGAUCCUCCUGCCGCGGCCAUCAGGACGAGCCAAGGGAACCCCCCUCUCUCCCCCAUGAGCUGAGGUCCACACAGCCAUCCCCAGCUCACAGCCAUGGCAGGCGGGUGGAAUUCUGAACGACGGAGAAUCAGAGCCCAAACAGGAGACACAGAAGCUAGUCUGGCGAUCCCGCAGACGCGACAGCAGGUCCCAGAUCUGCUGAGACAGUGAAGGAUGGGGUGUGGGUGACGUUCCCACCGAGACUCACGUGGGACCUAGCAGGUGAAGGAGUGUCUUUGUCACCAGCACGGAAGACAUUCUCCGCGACGUUGCCUUCCCCACCCGGCAAACGUCCCCCUGGAGCAGCUGAGAAAAGUGUUUUAAAGGGCGGAAACUAAUGCAAGCGGUAGGUUCUAUUGUGCAUAUUUCAGAUCCGGGAUGUGGAAUUCGCAGCCUCACUUGAUGACAUUUUAAUUAAGUUUCUAAUUUUACCAGGGAGGGAGCAAAAAUAAUCUACUGGUAUCUUAAAUGCUGACAUCACCUCAGGCUUCUGGACAGCCUCAGGGUUCAGGACUGAGGGCAGGCCGACCCCAGGACCGCUGUGGCACGGAGAUCCCAGCUGAGGGCAACGGAGACCCUGUGGGCUCAGGAGAAACUUCCGAGCUUCCUUUAACUCCACGGGAGACUCUAAACAGGGGGCCUUUCCCAGAGUAAGAGCUAUUAGCAGAGAUGAAUGUUAUCCGGGUGAGCCAUCUGUACGGCAGGACAGACGUCUAAUUGCCGAACAUCUGUCCUCUUUCCACCCUGCGAGGUGGGUUCCUUUCUCCGGCGGCCCCAGAUCCUCGCAUUCCCCAUGACACACACACCUCAGUUUGCCCUACUGUCUUCAGAAUUUCCAGGUCUGUGUGCAUUCCUCAUACACACGCCCAUUAAAUUUGAUUUUCUCCUGUUAAUGUCUCAUGUCAAUUUGAUUCUUAGUCCAGCCAGCAGGACCUUGGAGGGGUUUGCUCAGGAUCCUGGAGUUCUGGGUCAUUCUCUGAAGGCUUCCAAAGCAGAUGGAAGAAAACAUCCAUCCUCACAGCCUCUCUGGAUACAGAUUCUUCAAGGACUUCCUUUUCCUAAGAGACGUCACACCAACAGAGCCACACAGUCUGCUUCCUGCUCUGUUAGGCCAGAAAUUGAUCAUUUCAGUCCCAAAUUGGUAGCCUGUCUCCAUUUAUACCUUAGAUUGAAAAAUGGGAGACAACUUUUAGAAAAUAAUUUAUAAUGAAAACUUGCUGAUUAAAACUAACUAUACUUAUUAUUUGUAGCGAGUGCUUUUAGUUAAAAUAAGGUUCCCCAAGUAGGAAAUCAUUCUAAGAAACUGCCACAUGCUGUUUGCUUGAUUUUUUUAAGGAACUGAUCUGCCAAGUUGCGAGACCCUCCCUUCAUAGCAUCUACUCGAACACCCACUCAUAUUCUGGGGCUCACGGGGUACCUCGGCACCCAGUUCUGUUGUGAAUGUGAUCCAUGGGUUUUUGUUUGGCUAUGUGGCCACUCUGUUUUAAGGCUGGGAUUUGGAAAGACUAAAGACUGCCACCAUCAUCUUCUACUUCCAACCUUUUUUUGGAUACAUCAUCGUACUUUAUUCAAAUUCCACUCUGAUCACCUAUGGUCCAAGAACACUCGAAUAAUAAACCAAAUAUGAACAGAUGUUAAAGAUUGGUCUUUAUUAUAGCCAAUGAUGCCAAUCACUUGCCUGUGAUCUUGCCGACAUAAAACCACAUCCACCCCUCGGCGGCCACCAAACCACUCAGCCUAGUUUCCUUAAACGUGAACUGUUUGAAGCUACCAGCUUGAGGACUCUUGACUAUUUCUUUCAAGCUCUGAGUAGCUGUAGGGAUCUCAGCAGGGGCUGGAGGAAACAGCGCAACCUUGGCAUAGUGCCCAAACGUGGCCAGUCGAGGCUUCGGGUAAGUCACAGCUGCAUUCACCAGUGCAGGAAACUUCUCGGUGAGGUUAUAGACAAAGUGGGCCGUGGUUCCAAGAUCACUUUGGACAUGUUUUAAAUCAGCAUUUCCUACCUACGACUCUGUACUCAGCCAAAUCACCCAUUAGGUAUUACAUCAGAGAAAAAACUUGCUUUGGACAUUUACUUUCCAUGCACCGUUCCCAGGAAGCUACUGGAGAAUAUAUUCCACCAAAAUAAAGAGACACAACACGAAAGGAGGUACGGGAUCUGGACGAGCGGUGGACGGCAUUCCCGGGACAGGUGAAGGGAGGCCACCGUGGGGCCAGCACAGGGCGCCAGGCGGCUGCAGGAGAGCAUCUCCGGGUGCACGCUGUUUUGGACCCAGCCCAGCACUUUCCCCACAGGACACUCAGGUCUGAGGCAGAGACGGUGUGACCGCUGUUCCGGUGUGAGGACUCUCCCCUCUGCAGACAGCCCUGGACACACAUACAUC